CUGCUGCCUCCCGUAGGAGUCUGGGCCGUGUCUCAGUCCCAGUGUGGCCGGUCCACCCUCUCAGGCCGGCUGCUGAUCGUCGCUUUGGUGGGCCGUUACCCCGCCAACUGGCUAAUCAGACGCGGGCCCAUCCUGUACCACCGGAGUUUUCAAAGGAUUACCAUGCGGUAUUCCCUAUUAUGCGGUAUUAGCACCUAUUUCUAAGUGUUAUCCCCCGGUACAGGGCAGGUUGCCCACGCGUUACUCACCCGUCCGCCACUAAGACAGA
rnacentral:rRNA from 1 species